rnacentral:lncRNA from 1 species
UAUGCGCGUCAAUUUAUUUAUUUGGAUUAUGGAAUUCUUUUGAGAGAUCUUCUUUGUACUCCGUCUUUUCGACAUUAAUAAAUUAUUUGCUCCGUCUUCGUCCGUGGACGUAGGCCGUUGGCCGAACCACGUAAAUAUCGGUGUGUUCUUCGCUUAUCUUUUCUUUUCUUGCAUUAAAUUAUUUUCUGGAUCUAUUUUUCGCCGUUCCGAUUUUAACAAACUGGUAUCAGAGCCUUUCUAUUCCCUUUGAGGAUUAAGAUGACGACGAAGUUCGAGAUUCAGAAAUUUGACAGGACCAACAGUUUCGCAUUAUGGCAAGUCAAGAUGCGUGCAGUAUUGACGCAGCAAGGAUUGCAGAAGGCACUGUUGGGAAAAGAAAAGAUGUCCGAUUCGUUAACAACAGAGCAAAAGGAGGAGAUUGAUGAUAAAGCUCUUAUGGCAAUACAAUUAUAUUUAUCUGAUGAGGUAUUGCGCGAGGUCUUGGAUGAAAAGACCGCAGCAGGACUUUGGCUUAAAUUGGAGUCUCUCUAUAUGACGAAAUCUCUCACCAAUAAGUUAUAUCUGAAGCAACAUCUCUUCAUGUUGCGCAUGGCAGAAGGUACCUCUAUUAAGUCGCAUUUAGAUGAAUUUAAUUCUAUCAUUAUGGAUCUCCGCUCGAUAGAUGUCAAAAUCGAGGAGGAAGAUGAAGCCCUUUUAUUAUUAUGUUCUCUACCGCCCUCUUAUAAGAAUUUUCGUGAGACUUUCUUGUUUGGACGAGAUACUCUAUGUCUCGAUGAUGUUAAAUCCUCUUUACUUUCAAAAGAGAGAAUUGACAUGCAGAUAAGCAACGAGACAGGUGGAGCUUCAGGACAAGGUUUGGUCGCUAGAGGGAGGUCUCGGGAGAAGGGUUCCGGUAAUAGAGAUACAUCUAGAUCAAAGUCAAAGCACAGGAAUCUGAUUUGUGGUUAUUGUAAGAAGAAGGGUCACAUAAAAGCUGAUUGUUUCAAGUUGAAAAAUAAAGAGCAGCGGAAGAAUAACGGUGAUAAAAAUCAGGGUCAGAAAAACACCAAUACUGAAGCAGAAGCAAGUGUUGCAGCAGGAGAAUCAGAUAAAAAUGAUAUCGUCUUUACAGUUACGGAUAAGACACGCAGACAGGAUGAGUGGCUUAUGGACUCCGCAUGUUCUUUUCAUAUCUGUACGCAUAGAGAAUGGUUCUCGACGUACAUGCCUAUUGAAGGUGGAGAUGUAUUGAUGGAAAAUCACUCUAAGUGCACAGUUAUUGGAAUUGGUACUAUUCAGGUACGAAUGUUCGAUGGAGUAGUGAGGACUAUAUCUGAGGUUCGGCAUGUUCCGGAUAUGAGGAAAAAUCUGAUCUCAUUGGGUACACUUGAUACUAAAGGCUUUAAGUAUUCUUCAGCUGAUGGAUUAAUGAAGGUCGCUAAAGGGAAUCUUGUAGUGAUGAAGGCUAAGUUGUCCGACAUGUUAUAUGUUCUACAGGGUUCCACUGUGACAGGUUCAGCAGCGGUGACUUCUUCCUCUAUGUCAGAUUCAGAUAGCACCAAAUUAUGGCAUAUGCGACUGGGCCAUAUGAGUGAAUAUGGCAUGAUGAAGUUGGGCGAGAGAGGUUUACUUGGUAGUCAGAGUUUAGAAAAGUUGGACUUCUGCGAGCAUUGUGUUCUUGGCAAACAAAAGAGAGUCAGCUUUAAGGUAGCAGUUCACCGAAUAAAAGGUACUCUGGAUUACAUCCAUUCUGAUCUUUGGGGACCCUCUCGUACUCCUACUCAUGGUGGUGCUAGAUAUAUGUUGACUUUUAUUGACGACUAUUCUCGUAAAGUGUGGGCGUUCUUUCUGAAAAGUAAGGAUGAGGUGUUCAAUUAUUUCAAGCAGUGGAAGGUCAUGAUUGAGAAGCAAACUGAAAAGAAGAUCAAACGCUUAAGGACCGACAAUGGUUUGGAAUUCUGCUCGUCAGAGUUUGAAGAAUUCUGCAAGAAGGAAGGGAUCGUUCGACAUAAAACCGUUAGGCAUACUCCACAGCAGAAUGGGGUGGCCGAACGGAUGAAUAGAACUCUUUUGGAGAGGGCCCGUUGUAUGCUCUCUAAUGCUGGCUUAGCGAAGAGUUUCUGGGCAGAGGCGAUCUCUACGGCAUGCUAUUUGGUGAAUCGAUCUCCACAUUCAGCACUUGAUUGCAAAACUCCGGAGGAGGUAUGGUCUGGUAGCCCUUCUGAUUAUUCUAAUUUGCGAAUAUUUGGUUGUCCUGCUUAUGUUCAUGUUAAUGAAGGCAAGUUAGAACCUAGGGCUAAAAAGUGCAUUUUUAUUGGUUAUGCAUCGGGGGUUAAGGGAUAUAGAUUGUGGUGUCCUGAAUCGUCUAAAUUAAUUAUUAGUAGGGAUGUCACAUUUGAUGAAUCUGCUAUGUUAUAUCCUAACCGUAAUUCUUCUGAUGAGACCCCGAGUGCUAGCAAGCAGGUGGAGGUAGAGACCGAUGGUAUAGUUCAGUCACAGGAUUCUUCUCAGUCAGAACAAGUUCAGUCGACAGACACCUCAGUAACUGAAACCCCACAAGUUGAGAGGCAGAGCAUUGCUACAGGCAGAGCGAGGAGACAGAUCAAACCACCGCAGAGAUAUGGUUAUGAAGAUAUGGUUGCGUACGCUCUUUCAGUGGCACAAGAUACAGAAGAAGAAGGUGAACCUUCGACAUAUAAUCAAGCUAUUUCCGGUGCCAGUUCUGCAGAGUGGUUGGUGGCGAUGAAUGAGGAGAUGGAGUCUCUCCAUAAGAAUCGCACAUGGGAGUUGGUAAAACCGCCUACAGGCAAGAAAAUUGUCGGCUGUAAGUGGGUCUUCAAGAAAAAGGACGGAAUCCCCGGCGUGGAAGAUACAAGGUAUAAAGCUCGUUUAGUUGCUAAGGGCUACAGUCAGGUAGAAGGUGUGGACUUUAAUGAUAUUUUCUCACCCGUCGUAAAGCAUACUUCUAUUCGUGUUCUUUUAUCGUUAGUAGCCAUGAAUGACCUGUAUCUUGAGCAGCUUGAUGUUAAGACAGCUUUUCUGCAUGGAGAACUUGAGGAGCAAAUUUAUAUGAAACAGCCGGAGGGAUUCAUUGUUGAAGGGAAGGAGGACCAUGUUUGCCUGUUAAAGAAAUCGCUUUAUGGCUUAAAGCAGUCUCCUCGACAAUGGUAUAAGCGGUUCGACUCCUUUAUGACAGGUCACGGAUAUUCCAGAAGCAAACGUGACAGUUGCGUAUAUUUCAGAAAGCUUGAUAAGGGAUCUUUCAUAUAUUUGUUGCUCUAUGUCGAUGAUAUGUUAAUUGCUUCCAGCGACAUAGUUGAGAUAAAUAAAUUGAAGACUUUACUUAAGGGUGAGUUUGAGAUGAAAGAUCUAGGUGCUGCUAAGAAAAUCCUUGGUAUGGAAAUUAAGAGGGACAACAAGUCAGGACUACUGCAUUUGACACAAGAGAAAUAUAUAGAGAAGAUUUUAAAGCGUUUCGGGAUGACAGACGCAAAACCAGUGAGCACUCCUUUUGCGGCGCAUUUCAGACUUUCCGCCGAGUUAUCACCGCAGUCCGAUGAUGAGCGGGAGUACAUGUCACAUGUUCCCUAUUCUAGUGCUGUCGGGAGCAUCAUGUACGCCAUGGUUUGCACACGGCCGGACAUCUCCUAUGCAGUGAGCAUGGUUAGCAGAUAUAUGACCAAUCCUGGUAAGGCUCAUUGGCAGGCUGUUAAGUGGAUUUUGAGAUACUUACGAGAUACCACUAACACUUGUUUGGAGUUUGGGAGGUGUAAGGAUGGUGUGGUUGGAUAUGUUGAUUCAGAUUUUGCAGGUGAUUUGGACAGGAGGAGAUCACUUUCAGGUUAUGUAUUCUCUAUUGGCGGAUGUGCAGUUAGUUGGAAAGCUUCACUACAACCUAUUGUCGCCUUAUCUACGACGGAGGCGGAAUAUAUUGCUAUGACAGAGGGUGUGAAGGAAGCUAUGUGGCUAAGAGGCUUAUUUGGUGAGCUUACUUCUUGUUGGAAUCCGACGAUUAUUUAUUCGGACAGUCAAAGUGCUAUUCAUUUGUCUAAAGAUCAAAUAUUUCAUGAGAGGACAAAGCACAUCGAUGUAAAGUUUCACUUUGUUCGGGAUGUGAUUGGGAAACACACGUUGACAGUUAAGAAAAUUGGUACUGAGGACAAUCCGGCGGAUAUGCUUACUAAGUCCCUUACUAUUGCCAAGUUCAAACAUUGUUUGGACUUGGUGGCAGUUAGCAGCAUUUGAGGCCCUAUGGGGCGUUUGGAGAAGACGGAGCGCGGAGCGUUAAGGAGCAUUAAAGUGAAUUAAAUUCAAGGUGGAGUUUUAUAGCGAUCUCAACACAGCGGCUAAACUACAAAUUAAACCAAGGUGGAGAUUGUUAUUUUUGGUUUAGAUUUGUUGUUAUCUAAUUCUGAGGAUAAAUCCUAAUCUAAUUGGGAUUAGAUAUUAUUUAGAUUUAAUUUGGCAUAUAUGGAUUAUAAUUAGGAGUGUAAUUCUAAUUGAAUUAGAAUUAGACUCUAAUUAGGAGACAUAUAUUAUAUAUACAUGCUACGGCCAAGUUAAUGAGGUAGCGACCCAAUUAAGAGCCAUGCAAAAUUAAUUAAAUCUGGUGGUCCAUCCGAACGGCCAGCAACAACGUGUGAAGGGAGAUAAAACUCUAUUCUAAUUAGAGGGAAGCUCUAAUGAAGCCGGCAUGCAAUCCUCUAAUUAAUUAGCCAUCAUUGUUUUUCCUUCUUGGGUGCUGUCGGUGUUUGGUGCCAAAUUAAUUAAGUCAACCUGCCGAGCAGAAGAAUCUUAUUGUACCGACGUGGUAAUUUGGAUAUGCAAUAUGCAUAUGCGCGUCAAUUUAUUUAUUUGGAUUAUGGGAUUCUUUUGAGAGAUCUUCUUUGUACUCCGCCUUUUCGACAUUAAUAAAUUAUUUGCUCCGUCUUCGCCCGUGGACGUAGGCCGUUGGCCGAACCACGUAAAUAUCGGUGUGUUCUUUCCUUAUCUUUUCUUUUCUUGCAUUAAAUUAUUUUCUGGAUCUAUUUUUCGCCGUUCCGAUUUUAAAGCAAACCAAACUUCAUAAAAUAAUUGCGCACCUUACAACAGAGCCAAAUAAAUA